CCGCAUACGUCCUACGGGAGAAAGCAGGGGAUCUUCGGACCUUGCGCUAAUAGAUGAGCCUAAGUCGGAUUAGCUAGUUGGUGGGGUAAAGGCCUACCAAGGCGACGAUCUGUAGCGGGUCUGAGAGGAUGAUCCGCCACACUGGGACUGAGACACGGCCCAGACUCCUACGGGAGGCAGCAGUGGGGAAUAUUGGACAAUGGGCGCAAGCCUGAUCCAGCCAUGCCGCGUGUGUGAAGAAGGCCUUAUGGUUGUAAAGCACUUUAAGCGAGGAGGAGGCUACUUUAGUUAAUACCUAGAGAUAGUGGACGUUACUCGCAAAAUAAGCACCGGCUAACUCUGUGCCAGCAGCCGCGGUAAUACAGAGGGUGCGAGCGUUAAUCGGAUUUACUGGGCGUAAAGCGCGCGUAGGCGGCUAAUUAAGUCAAAUGUGAAAUCCCCGAGCUUAACUUGGGAAUUGCAUUCGAUACUGGUUAGCUAGAGUGUGGGAGAGGAUGGUAGAAUUCCAGGUGUAGCGGUGAAAUGCGUAGAGAUCUGGAGGAAUACCGAUGGCGAAGGCAGCCAUCUGGCCUAACACUGACGCUGAGGUGCGAAAGCAUGGGGAGCAAACAGGA
rnacentral:rRNA from 1 species